UAUUCUGCCCUACAGGGAAGGAUGAGAAGCUUCGACUAAGGUUCGACUCGAGCGAAGCGAGAGAACGUU
rnacentral:sRNA from 1 species